UAAAAGCCUAAUUAUUUUUAUAAGGCUUGCGUUUGGAGAUGUCUCAAAAAAAAACUAGAGCUUAUUAUUUGGAUAUGAAAAUUUAGUUUUCGACAAUGCUAGAAGAUACUAAAGGAUUGGAUUCUAAGUCUCGGUUUAAAUCCUAAAUUGCCUCGAAUAACAUAUGUGAUUAAUAUGAAAGAAUAUCAAGAGGGUUUUAACAGCAAAACAAGGAAUAAAUGAAAGGUGGAAUAGUACAUAUUGGCUACGAUGGAAUUAAGACAAAUUGUGAAUAUUGAAAAUGAAGA